CAAGACUCAAGUGGAACAUGAAGGGGGUAAACAGGAUGAAAGGGAGGUGUGAACAGCUGGCCUGACAGAUUGUCCUUGUUUGUCCAAAGCUUAAAUAUUGUUGUACAGUUCAGUGUUCGUGGAGUAUGCCGUUCAGGAAAGACACGACAUUUUCCAGUAUCCACUUAAAAGAUAAUUUAGGGGCAAGAGAAAGAUCAGAGAGAAUAGGACUUUGGCUUGGAUAGAAUGACGAGAGGCUAUCCUAAGGAAGCUGAAGCAGUCUGCUAUUUUUUUUUUCUGUUUUCUCUUCCAAAGAUAGAACAGAAAUGUUCAGCAAAGGAUGGGAAUCCAAGGUCUCCCUGCAGUGCGUUCCACUCUUCAUUAGUUGCCACGGGAAUUGUCUUGAAGCACAUCUGCCCA